GAUGGGGAUCCCUUUUGGUUAAGUAGGCAGUGUUGGGGAUCCCCACUGGAGGAGGGCAGGGCCAGGGAGAGCAGCCUCCUGGAGACAGAAGAGAGGGGAGACAACUCAGAUGAUGUGGUGAUGUGACCAAAACAUAUUUUCAGAGUGCUCUGUUCUCAACAGCAUCCAGAGCUGGAAGUUCUCAGUCCUUACCUGCCACAGAGGGUUGAAGCAUCCCCUAUUAAGAGAGAGUGUCUUAAAAGUCCUUGGCCCAAAAGCUGGAGCUUUGAUCUUUAGAAAGGGCGACCCUUGGAAAACACAUUCACAAGGAAGGAACGGGGAACCAGAGAAAGUCCAUUGCAAAAGGAUACCCGUGCAGGUGUGGGGAAAGUUCCAGGUCCUACAGAACUGCUGUUACUGCUGUUUUCAGCAUCAGCCAAAGCUUAAUUUCUCCUCUGUGACCAACUGCUCUGGCUCAGUGGGCAUCAGCGGUGUAAGAUUCCUCUCCCACCUGGCACACACCAGUCCAGCAGCCAGCCUGUGUGCUAUGCCAGUCCUGGGCUUUGUCACACAGCACUGCCCAAAGAUGGUCUCCACUGGCCGCAGGCAUCCUGAAACACAGCUAAGCACAUUCCCAUUCUCAGGAAUCUACAGCAAAUCCACUGAGUUCCUUGGAGAUGGAAAUGGCUCUCACUGUGGCUUUUGGCUUUCCAGCCACUUCCAGUAG
rnacentral:lncRNA from 1 species